rnacentral:lncRNA from 1 species
GACGUGAGGACCGAGGCUGGGAGCCCUUCCUGUUACACGUUAUCAUGAGGCUGGGAGCCCCGCCUGCGCUUGGCCUGACAGCCUUUCCUGUCACACGUUGUCACCUAUCUAGUCCUACCGACGGUUUCAAGGAAGUGGGUCCGUGACAUUCUGCAGCUAGUCCACUACUCCAAGGUAACUAUCGACUUGGUUUCAGUGAAUCUAUUUUGUUUU